CUCGGCUCAGUCUCUGACUCUGGACUCCUCUGGUUUCCACGCUGCUGCAGUCCAGGUACAUGAUGGGAACCAGCACUGACGCGCCUUUGUCACUGACCAGUGGGUAUGUCAGCUGGUGUGUGGACCCUGCAGGGUCACAGCAUCCUGCAGCCACAGUUCUGACAGGCUCAGAAACCCAGGACAUGUUUUAUCAUCAAACCCAACAUUCAGCCGGUUCAAGUUCCCCCCGUUUUCUCAUUCUGUCACAAUCAGAAACCAGCAGAGAAGAAAAAGACUUAACAUUACCCUUUCAAUCUCCACAUUUACCCUUAAUG